rnacentral:tRNA from 1 species
GGGCGGCUAGCUCAGCUGGGAGAGCGCCGCGUUCGCAACGCGGAGGUCACGAGUUCGAGCCUCGUGCCGUCCACCA